GAAGUAAAAGUCGUAACAAGGUUUCCGUAGGUGAACCUGCGGAAGGAUCAUUACAGAGUUCCUGCCCUUACGGGUAGAAACCCCACCCGUGUAUAUUAUAUCUUUGUUGCUUUGGCAGGCCGCCUUCGGGCACCGGCACAUGCUGGAUCGUGCCUGCCAGAGGACCCCAAAUUCUGAAUGUUAGUGUCGUCUGAGUACUAUAUAAUAGUUAAAACUUUCAACAACGGAUCUCUUGGUUCUGGCAUCGAUGAAGAACGCAGCGAAAUGCGAUAAGUAAUGUGAAUUGCAGAAUUUAGUGAAUCAUCGAAUCUUUGAACGCACAUUGCGCCCCUUGGUAUUCCGAGGGGCAUGCCUGUUCGAGCGUCAUUUAAACCAAUCCAGCUUGCUGGGUGUUGGGCUUUCGCCUCUGGGCGGGUCUUAAAAUCAGCGGCGGUGCUGCCAGGCUCUAAGCGUAGUAAUUCUUCUCGCUACAGGGUCCUGGUGGAGGCUUGCCAACAACCCCAAAUUUUCAAAGGUUGACCUCGGAUCAGGUAGGGAUACCCGCUGAACUUAAGCA
rnacentral:rRNA from 1 species